CGCGUAGGCGGCUUGAUAAGUUGAAGGUGAAAUCCCGGAGCUCAACUCCGGAACUGCCCUCAAAACUAUCUGGCUAGAGGCAAGGAGAGGAGAGCGGAAUACCCAGUGUAGAGGUGAAAUUCGUAGAUAUUGGGUGGAACACCGGUGGCGAAGGCGGCUCUCUGGCCUUGUUCUGACGCUAAGGCGCGAAAGCGUGGGGAGCAAACA
rnacentral:rRNA from 1 species